CUCCCCAUAGUUCAAUGGAUAGAACGAGGGAUUCCUAAUCCCUAAAUGUAGGUUCGACUCCUGCUGGGGAGA
rnacentral:tRNA from 1 species